rnacentral:tRNA from 4 species
GACUCACUAGCUCAGCCGGUAGAGCACCGCACUUUUAAUGCGAUGGUCCGGAGUUCGAAUCUCCGGUGGGUCACCA